ensembl:lncRNA
UUUUCAAGUGGUCUGACUGUCAGAUGCCUGAUUUUGAUGGAUGAUGCUAAGCAUGGAUGUAAUCACCAUCUUGGUCUCAAAACCAGCCAGUAAGAUAUGAGAGAAUGAGAAGCUGACACCAGGGUUGGCAAUGGUGUAUCAUAUAUAGCCUCAAGAGAGUUGGCUGGAGACUGGAGGCCCUGAGAUCUCCAGGUAGCAUGCAGCCUGCUCCCCAUGCCUAACAGAGUUUGGAAGGAACAACGUGCCAUCUCAAAUGAUUUUUUCCACUGUGGAAAUGACUGUAUCUGUAACCCUGGAAGACAAAAACAGGCAGCCUGAGUAUCCUUCUAAGGCCAGACCAAGCAGUCAAUAAAGCAAGUUUUUAUUAAGGGUGCAAAUUUCUCCCUGAAUCUCAGCCAGUUGAGUGAAGAGAUACAUAAGACUGUGGAUUUGUGUAAAACAAAACAAGGCAUGGAGACCCUCAGUCUGUCCCAGCCCCUGGUGAUGUGCACACAUGCACAGAGCAGCCAUGGGGCUAGGAUAGAGCAGAGAUACUGAAGGAGCAGAGCAAUGUCUGUGCCAUGUUACCUCUAGGCAGGUGUGGCCAGGCUACUUCCAACUUCUGCCUCUGUCUGCAAACACUUGCUCCUGGUCUUGUUACCCAAACUCUAUUCACAAGAGUGAUUAAAUCAUACUAGUGACCAUCACCUUUGGGAAUAACAACAAAUAAACCCUGUAUUUCAUCAUGUUGGUUGCUCUGCGGAUGGGAUUUUGGCUUCUGGGCCCAUCAGCAGGGAUCCUUUGGACAAUGUUUAAUUAGAGAAUAAGCAAAUGAGUUAUCUGCUUCAAUUCUGCAAGAUGAAAGAUUCAGAGUUUGGAAAUAGGAAAGAACCAUGAAGGUAAAUAAAGAAAAAGAACAAAGCUGAAGGAAGCAUUUUCCAAACAGUUUCCUGCAGCGCAGCAAUGGCCAGGCCAGUACACUAAGCUUCCUUCUUGGGGGAUCUUUCUUGGCCUUUGCACUCUGGUGUUUGCUCCAGCUGCUCUAACUUAGGUGACAGAGUGGGGAGACUCCUAAGGCUGAGUUAUAUGAGAUUGCCAUAGGGAUUGCAUAUAUGAAAUUGCAUAGAACUGCAGAUAUUUACUCAGAUGAGGAUUUUUCUUACAUGUUGACUUGCAAGGUAUUCCAGAAGUGUAGUGAGCUUCUUCUAAACUUCUGAGCCUCAACCAUCAGCCUGGUGUUUCUCCAUUUUAAACAAGCAGCCAUCAGGCCAAAGUUACAUGUGUACAUGUAUGGAGGGAGGCUGAAGACACACUAACAUCACUACCGGUUAGAUUGAACUCAGUUCUGGCCCACUUUUGAAGGGGCCGAACAUCCUUAAUUUCCAGUUGACAGCAUUGGCCAGCCAACAAUACAGAGCCCAUAACACAUCAGAUGAUGCUACCCCAUGCCAGGUAGAGCUGUUUGACCUGAAGGUUGAGAACUGCCUCGCAAGUAUGAGAUACAGAUCAGGGGACAUGUAAAAAGCUGCAGAUGAGAAUCUAUGGGUAUGCAUGGAAGGUGGGAAGUGACAUACUGAUUCUGUCUUCAUGAUCAGAGAUCUCUUUCUUCAAGUGCUAUUAGAGAGGUUGCUGAAUCUCCUACUGGAGAUUUUAUUGUAAAAGGACACUACUGGGAAACAAAUUCUCAGCAGUUAUUGCAGUCAAGACAAGGAUGUGUUUCAGAGUGUUCUCUGGGUAAGAAGCUUAACCAAGAUAAUAAAUGCUGUUAAAGAAUAUUAGCAGAACGUCACCUGGCCCUCAGUAAUUUGGGGUAAAGAUCUCUCUGGCUUCCUAUAAUGGAAAGGAGAGAGAAAUACUCCUGAAACUCAUCCACUCUCAUUCACAUUCCAGUGCACUGUAUGUUCUGCAUUUCAAGAGGCAUUUUCAGCCCCUUUAGAUAGGGAACCCCGAUUCCCCAGGCAAAGCAGGGAUAUAUCUGCCAUGAAGGACCCUGGGGAAAGGCAGGAAAAAUGCCAUGCUUAAAACCAAUCCCCUUCUUUUCCAAAGAAAACAGCUGUGUGACAACUCAGACAACAGUUGAAGAGAUACGCGUGCAUGUGUAUAUAUGGAUGUACAUAUACAUAGUUCCAUAAAAACACUCUCACCAAUCCAGUUACACUUGUCACAAUUCCCAGUCAAACUGGGGAAAAAAAUAUCUAGUUAUCUUAGAUGAUUUGGUGACAGGCUUUGCUCAGGGCAGCCUCAUUCCAGCAAGAUUCAUGCUGUCGGAUUACAUCCCUGCUGUUCCUAGGCUACAGUGUUUUUCCUGCAUGCGGUAUUCUCAUUACCCAGAAAGUCUUCAUCCAAAAUGUUGUUCCUCAACUAUCAGCAAAGUGGUGAUGUACUCUUCACUGCAUUGAGUCCUAAUCACACUGGGUAAAAGAGAGUGAAGACUGGAGAAAACUGGUUUACAUCUCCCUUUCAUUCCCUUUCAUUUCUCUGCUUUCUUUUCUUCCCCCAAAAGGCGACACUCCCACUUAGCAACCCUAAAGCAAUUAAGCUGAAGCAAGAUAGUAGUGUGCAGAGGGUGAUCUGAGACAACCCUUUUAUAUCAAUUUCGGUUUCUGCUGGGCAUUCUUCUGACAUUUCAAAAGACUGUGAUCCUAAUGAAAACCACACAAGCUCUCAAUAUUAAGUUAACUCUUUUUGUAAAAAAUGCAAAAGGAUGGAGAAGAAACGGAAAGAAAAAGGGGAAGAGGAACGGAAAGGGAAAGUGAAGGAAAAUUCUUUUCAGGUUGUAUUGGUGCAUACAAGAACCAUAUUGUCUAUCAAGCCAUGCUCUGCCUUAUAAGCCAAAAGACAUAUAGCUAUUACAGAGCAGAAAAGCUACAGAUAUUUCCUCCUCAACAAUUUUUGUCUCAAGAAAACAAAAUAAAAUACGUUUGGCAUUAUUGGUGUAAAGUGUAAGGAACAGAUUGUCAAAAAAAAAAUAAAAAAUACAGAAC